rnacentral:rRNA from 1 species
GAUGAACGCUGACAGCAUGCUUAACACAGAAUAACUGAUUGGGUGGCGGACGGGUGAGUAACGCGUAAAUAACUUACCUCACCGUUUGGGACCACAUUUGGAAACGAAUGCUAAUACCUAAUAGUGUGGGAGAGCUUUUCGGUCCAUUAGCUAGUUGGAGAGGUAACGGCUCACCAAGGCGAGGAUGGGUAGCCGGCCUGGGAGGGUGAUCGGCCCCAAGGGGACAGGGGCACGGACCUUACUCCAACGGGAGGAAGCAGUGGGGAAUAUUGGACAACGGACCAAUGUAUGAUCCAGCAAUUCGGGGUGGAAGAUGAAGUUUUCGGAAUGUAAAGUGCUUUGAGUAGGGAAGCGGUACCAACAGAAGAAGUGACGGCUAAAUACGUGCCAGCAGCCGCGGUAAUAC